GACGAACGCUGGCGGCGUGCUUAACACAUGCAAGUCGAACGAUGAAGCCGGAGCUUGCUCUGGUGAAUUAGUGGCGAACGGGUGAGUAACACGUGAGUAACCUGCCCUUGACUCUGGGAUAACUGCUAGAAAUGGUAGCUAAUACCGGAUACGACCCUCGGAGGCAUCUCCAGGGGGUGGAAAGAAUUUCGGUCAAGGAUGGACUCGCGGCCUAUCAGCUAGUUGGUGAGGUAACGGCUCACCAAGGCGACGACGGGUAGCCGGCCUGAGAGGGUGACCGGCCACACUGGGACUGAGACACGGCCCAGACUCCGACGGGGGGCAGCAGUGGGGAAUAUUGCACAAUGGGCGCAGGCCUGAUGCAGCAACGCCGCGUGAGGGAUGACGGCCUUCGGGUCGUAAACCUCUUUUAGUAGGGAAGAAGCGAAAGUGACGGUACCUGCAGAAAAAGCACCGGCUAACUACGUGCCAGCAGCCGCCGUAA
rnacentral:rRNA from 1 species